rnacentral:rRNA from 1 species
ACGGGAGGCAGCAGUGGGGAAUAUUGCACAAUGGGGGAAACCCUGAUGCAGCGACGCCGCGUGAGUGAAGAAGUAUUUCGGUAUGUAAAGCUCUAUCAGCAGGGAAGAUAAUGACGGUACCUGACUAAGAAGCCCCGGCUAACUACGUGCCAGCAGCCGCGGUAAUACGUAGGGGGCAAGCGUUAUCCGGAUUUACUGGGUGUAAGGGGAGCGUAGACGGUUUGGCAAGUCUGAAGUGAAAGCCCGGGGCUCAACCCCGGUAUUGCUUUGGAAACUGUUGAACUAGAGUGCCGGAGGGGUAAGCGGAAUUCCUAGUGUAGCGGUGAAAUGCGUAGAUAUUAGGAGGAACACCAGUGGCGAAGGCGGCUUACUGGACGGUAACUGACGUUGAGGCUCGAAAGCGUGGGGAGCAAACAGGAUUAGAUACCCUGGUA